GAUGAACGCUGACAGAAUGCUUAACACAUGCAAGUCAACUUGAAUUUGGGUUUUUAACUUAGGUUUGGGUGGCGGACGGGUGAGUAACGCGUAAAGAACUUGCCUCACAGCUAGGGACAACAUUUGGAAACGAAUGCUAAUACCUAAUAUUAUGAUAAUAGGGCAUCCUAUAAUUAUGAAAGCUAUAAGCGCUGUGAGAGAGCUUUGCGUCCCAUUAGCUAGUUGGAGAGGUAACGGCUCACCAAGGCGAUGAUGGGUAGCCGGCCUGAGAGGGUGAUCGGCCACAAGGGGACUGAGGCACGGCCCUUACUCCUACGGGAGGCAGCAGUGGGGAAUAUUGGACAAUGGACCGAGAGUCUGAUCCAGCAAUUCUGUGUGCACGAUGAAGUUUUUCGGAAUGUAAAGUGCUUUCAGUUGGGAAGAAACAAAUGACGGUACCAACAGAAGAAG
rnacentral:rRNA from 1 species